CCUACGGGAGGCAGCAGUGGGGAAUAUUGCACAAUGGGCGCAAGCCUGAUGCAGCGACGCCGCGUGGGGGAUGAAGGCCUUCGGGUUGUAAACUCCUUUCGCUAGGGACGAAGCUUUUUGGUGACGGUACCUAGAUAAGAAGCACCGGCUAACUACGUGCCAGCAGCCGCGGU
rnacentral:rRNA from 1 species